rnacentral:rRNA from 1 species
UCUGGUGCCAGCAGCCGCGGUAAUUCCAGCUCCAAUAGCGUAUAUUAAAGUUGUUGCAGUUAAAAAGCUCGUAGUUGAACCUUGGGCCUGGCUGGCCGGUCCGCCUCACCGCGUGUACUGGUCCGGCCGGGCCUUUCCUUCUGGGGAACCUCAUGCCCUUCACUGGGCGUGUUGGGGAACCAGGACUUUUACUUUGAAAAAAUUAGAGUGUUCAAAGCAGGCCUUUGCUCGAAUACAUUAGCAUGGAAUAAUAGAAUAGGACGUGUGGUUCUAUUUUGUUGGUUUCUAGGACCGCCGUAAUGAUUAAUAGGGAUAGUCGGGGGCAUCAGUAUUCAAUCGUCAGAGGUGAAAUUCUUGGAUUGAUUGAAGACUAACUACUGCGAAAGCAUUUGCCAAGGAUGUUUUCAUUAAUCAGUGAACGAAAGUUAGGGGAUCGAAGACGAUCAGAUACCGUCGUAGUCUUAACCAUAAACUAUGCCGACUAGGGAUCGGACGGUGUUAGUAUUUUGACCCGUUCGGCACCUUACGAGAAAUCAAAGUUUUUGGGUUCUGGGGGGAGUAUGGUCGCAAGGCUGAAACUUAAAGGAAUUGACGGAAGA